UGGGGAUUAGUGGCGAACGGGUGAGUAACACGUGGGCAAUCUGCCCUUCACUCUGGGACAAGCCCUGGAAACGGGGUCUAAUACCGGAUACCACCACCACGGGCAUCUGUGGUGGUUGAAAGCUCCGGCGGUGAAGGAUGAGCCCGCGGCCUAUCAGCUUGUUGGUGAGGUAAUGGCUCACCAAGGCGACGACGGGUAGCCGGCCUGAGAGGGCGACCGGCCACACUGGGACUGAGACACGGCCCAGACUCCUACGGGAGGCAGCAGUGGGGAAUAUUGCACAAUGGGCGAAAGCCUGAUGCAGCGACGCCGCGUGAGGGAUGACGGCCUUCGGGUUGUAAACCUCUUUCAGCAGGGAAGAAGCGAAAGUGACGGUACCUGCAGAAGAAGCGCCGGCUAACUACGUGCCAGCAGCCGCGGUAAUACGUAGGGCGCAAGCGUUGUCCGGAAUUAUUGGGCGUAAAGAGCUCGUAGGCGGCUUGUCACGUCGGGUGUGAAAGCCCGGGGCUUAACCCCGGGUCUGCAUUCGAUACGGGCUAGCUAGAGUGUGGUAGGGGAGAUCGGAAUUCCUGGUGUAGCGGUGAAAUGCGCAGAUAUCAGGAGGAACACCGGUGGCGAAGGCGGAUCUCUGGGCCAUUACUGACGCUGAGGAGCGAAAGCGUGGGGAGCGAACAGGAUUAGAUACCCUGGUAGUCCACGCCGUAAACGGUGGGAACUAGGUGUUGGCGACAUUCCACGUCGUCGGUGCCGC
rnacentral:rRNA from 1 species